AGCAGUCGCCACGGGAAUACGGAGGGAGCUAGCGUUGUUCGGAAUUACUGGGCGUAAAGCGCGCGUAGGCGGUUACUCAAGUCAGAGGUGAAAGCCCGGGGCUCAACCCCGGAACUGCCUUUGAAACUAGGUGACUAGAAUCUUGGAGAGGUCAGUGGAAUUCCGAGUGUAGAGGUGAAAUUCGUAGAUAUUCGGAAGAACACCAGUGGCGAAGGCGACUGACUGGACAAGUAUUGACGCUGAGGUGCGAAAGCGUGGGGAGCAAACAGGAUUAGAUACCCCUGUAGUCCCUGUCUCUUAUAC
rnacentral:rRNA from 1 species